GCACAGGUGUGUCCAUCAGUGAAUAUACAUCAAUCAAGGAAAUUCACUUUUGUGAGUGCCUAGAAAAGAUUAUUUGGAUGUCCGAUAGACCACCUGAUAUUUCUGAUGGUGAUCUAAUGCCGCAUCUUUCUACGCAAGCAGUGGAUCUGUGAAGCCAGCGGUGGGCAUCUCACUUCAAAAUCGAUCACUGCUGCAUCCGCCCCAAAAUCAGGUCCAGAGUCUAAUCCAAUAUGAGAAAAUGUAAACAAUCAUGAAUUUAGAAAAAACCUUCACAGAAUUACCCUUAACUAAACAUUUAUGUGCCAUGUAGAGUUGGAGAUAUGUGUGUUAUGUAUUUCCAUAUUGGGCAUUGCCCCCAAAAAACUUAUACAUGCAUUCAUGUAGAUUCGGCCACAUUUAACCCUUAUGACAAUCCUUACAGAGGAGGAACUUGGAUGGAAAGGGGCAGACAUGCCUAGACUUGGGUACAUAAAUCACUGGUGUCGUCUCUAUUGUGCAAAGGAUAUGCGCCCAUCUAUUUACAUUACUUCAUUGAUAUUUGAAUUCAGACCAUAGCAGUUAAGUAUAUUCCCUUUUGAUUUUAAAGGUAAAGAUAAUAGAUGUUUGUAUUUAUUUGAAAUGAAUGACUAUUGUUA